UAAGAGGGCAGAUGGAAGCAUCUGCCUCGGGCAGGUGAGCGGGCAGAGGUGUCUCACACAGACUCAAAGGAGCAAACUGCAUUCUGAAGAGCUGCGUGCCAUGGCUAGCAGUCCACAGAAGUGGCUGAUGAUUUGAGAUAAGACCGGAGAGCGGCAAGGAGCGGCACGUGCAGUUAUGCCUUCCAAGCACUGCGGUUGCUCUGUUCUGAUUAUCAGGUGAAGAGGUGCCUGAAGCCGUGUCUCGUGUGGGCUGAGGACGCCUCACUGAGGAUGAAGCCUGCUUUCCAGCAGGUCCCAAAGCUGUGUUGGGGCUGAAAUGCUGUGUCUGUAUUUGGGUUGGGGUUGUGCCUUGGUGAGUGUGGGGAUGGGUUUUAAGUCGGUGCAGCAGAUAUGUAUAUAAAUGAAAUUCACAUAAGUGAUAUAUGAUGAAGUAUUGUGAAUCCUUGAACUUCUAGCCUACAUUAGCUAAUAUGUAUGGAGUUGCAUGAAACAUUGAGAAGCAGCUUCUAAUAAGCAGGUUUUUGUUGUCAUUAACUCAGCCCAUGCCUUUGCCAUACGUAAAGAUCAAGACAAACUACCUUUUUACACAGGAACUGCUGUGGGUGCACAGAAAGUCCUAGAGGACAUUUAGGGCUGUAUUUUGGUUCCCAAAGUGUUUUUACCUGGUCCAACUGAUUUAUAUUGGCCGAGCCUCUUCAUAGGGUCCCUGUGUGGUUGCAGAGCCUAGCCACGGUGUUUCCACUGCGCUCUAUGCUCCAUCCUCUUCUUUAGAGUCAGCACACCAGCUUCCCCUUGUGCAAUAUCAUCUAAGGCUGGAGUCCUAGGGAAUGCUUAGGUAGCACAGCUAUCCUCCACCCUAAAAGCUUCUUCAUUGCUGUACGUUUUCUUUAAAAGGUGAAUAUUAGUUUAAUUUGCCUAGUUACUUCAGGCAGUUACUCCACAACUACCAAAAGCGAUAGUGAGAAGCCUGCUUCCAGCAUCCGUUCCCCACCUCGGGAUGGACAGAUGGACGCCACUCGAUGCCUUGCCCGCCAGGGGAAGGGGAGAACUACUGGGCAGGGAACCCCACCGCAGCCCCCCUCCUGGGAGUCCUGUAGAGCAGUUUAAUAAAGUUUGCUUUCUGACCUGC